rnacentral:rRNA from 1 species
CGUAGGUCAUUUACCUUCAGGUUCAGAAUAACCCGCCGAAAGGCGAGCUAAUACUGGAUAAGACCACGCUUCGGUUUUCCGAAGUGAGGUUAAAGCUUGGGACCCCAACAGGGCCUGGCGCCUUUAGACGAGCCUGCGUCCUAUCAGCUUGUUGGUGAGGUAACGGCUCACCAAGGCAUUUGACGGGUAGCUGGUCUGAGAGGAUGGUCAGCCACACUGGGACUGAGACACUGCCCAG